rnacentral:miRNA from 1 species
GCAUGAGAUUGAGAGGGAACAUGAGAGUGGGGAGGAGUAACAAAAGUAAAAACUAAAACUAAAAACUGAAAUCUAUUUGAAAUUAUUUUCACUUUUGUUACUCCUCCCUCCCAUCAUCCCCUCUCAUCCUCUCUCU